rnacentral:rRNA from 1 species
UACGAGGGGGGCAAAUGUUGUUCGGAAUCACUGGGCGUAAAGGGAGCGUAGGCGGGUUUCUAAGUCAGGUGUUUAAUCCCGGGGCCCAACCCCGGACAGGCACUUGAAACUGGGAAUCUUGAAUAGUGGAGAGGUCAGUGGAAUUGGGGGUGUAGCGGUGGAAUGCGUAGAGGUCCCCAAGAACACCAGUUGCGAAGGCGGCUGACUGGACACAUAUUGACGCUGAGGCUCGAAAGCAUGGGGAGCAAACAGG